AAGACCUUGCGUUUUUGGAGCGGCCGAUGUCUGAUUAGCUAGUUGGUGGGGUAAUGGCCUACCAAGGCUUCGAUCAGUAGCUGGUCUGAGAGGACGGCCAGCCACACUGGGACUGAGACACGGCCCAGACUCCUACGGGAGGCAGCAGUGGGGAAUUUUGGACAAUGGGCGCAAGCCUGAUCCAGCCAUGCCGCGUGAGUGAAGGAGGCCUUCGGGUUGUAAAGCUCUUUCAGCCGAGAAGAAAAGUUUGCGACUAAUAAUCGCAAUUCAUGACGGUACCGGCAGAAGAAGCACCGGCUAACUACGUGCCAGCAGCCGCGGUAAUACGUAGGGUGCGAGCGUUAAUCGGAAUUACUGGGCGUAAAGGGUGCGCAGGCGGUUUUGUAAGUCAGAUGUGAAAUCCCCGGGCUUAACCUGGGAACU
rnacentral:rRNA from 1 species